CAGCCGCCACGGGAAUACAGAGGGUGCGAGCGUUAAUCGGAUUUACUGGGCGUAAAGCGUGCGUAGGCGGCUUCUUAAGUCGGAUGUGAAAUCCCUGAGCUUAACUUAGGAAUUGCAUUCGAUACUGGGAAGCUAGAGUAUGGGAGAGGAUGGUAGAAUUCCAGGUGUAGCGGUGAAAUGCGUAGAGAUCUGGAGGAAUACCGAUGGCGAAGGCGACUAUCUGGGCCAACACUGACACUGAGGCACGAAAGCGUGGGGAGCAAACAGGAUUAGAUACCCGUGUAGUCCCUGUCUCUUAUAA
rnacentral:rRNA from 1 species